GUACUCAUUUCAGCAGUAUAUAUACUAAAAUUAGAAUGAUAUAAAAAAGUUAGCAUGCACAAGGUUGACGUGAAAAUUUGUGAAGCACUCCAUAGUUUU
rnacentral:snRNA from 1 species